rnacentral:rRNA from 1 species
GGCGUGCCUAAUACAUGCAAGUCGAGCGAACUUAUGAGAAGCUUGCUUCUCUGAUGUUAGCGGCGGACGGGUGAGUAACACGUGGGUAACCUACCUAUAAGACUGGGAUAACUCCGGGAAACCGGGGCUAAUACCGGAUAAUAUAUUGAACCGCAUGGUUCAAUGUUGAAAGACGGUUUCAGGCUGUCACUUAUAGAUGGACCCGCGCCGUAUUAGCUAGUUGGUAAGGUAACGGCUUACCAAGGCAACGAUACGUAGCCGACCUGAGAGGGUGAUCGGCCACACUGGAACUGAGACACGGUCCAGACUCCUACGGGAGGCAGCAGUAGGGAAUCUUCCGCAAUGGGCGAAAGCCUGACGGAGCAACGCCGCGUGAGUGAUGAAGGUCUUAGGAUCGUAAAACUCUGUUGUUAGGGAAGAACAAAUUUGUUAGUAACUGAACAAGUCUUGACGGUACCUAACCAGAAAGCCACGGCUAACUACGUGCCAGCAGCCGCGGUAAUACGUAGGUGGCAAGCGUUAUCCGGAAUUAUUGGGCGUAAAGCGCGCGUAGGCGGUUUCUUAAGUCUGAUGUGAAAGCCCACGGCUCAACCGUGGAGGGUCAUUGGAAACUGGGGAACUUGAGUGCAGAAGAGGAGAGUGGAAUUCCAUGUGUAGCGGUGAAAUGCGCAGAGAUAUGGAGGAACACCAGUGGCGAAGGCGGCUCUCUGGUCUGUAACUGACGCUGAUGUGCGAAAGCGUGGGGAUCAAACAAGAUUAGAUACCCUGGUAGUCCACGCCGUAAACGAUGAGUGCUAAGUGUUAGGGGGGUUUCCGCCCCUUAGUGUUGCAGAUAACGCAUUAAGCACUCCGCCUGGGGAGUACGACCGCAAGGUUGAAACUCAAAGGAAUUGACGGGGACCCGCACAAGCGGUGGAGCAUGUGGUUUAAUUUGAAGCAACGCGAAGAACCUUACCAAAUCUUGACAUCCUUUGACCGCUCUAGAGAUAGAGUUUUCCCCUUCGGGGGACAAAGUGACAGGUGGUGCAUGGUUGUCGUCAGCUCGUGUCGUGAGAUGUUGGGUUAAGUCCC